CAGCCGCCACGGUAAUACGUAGGGUGCGAGCGUUAAUCGGAAUUACUGGGCGUAAAGCGUGCGCAGGCGGUUGUGUAAGACAGGUGUGAAAUCCCCGGGCUUAACCUGGGAACUGCGCUUGUGACUGCACAGCCAGAGUAUGGCAGAGGGGGGUGGAAUUCCACGUGUAGCAGUGAAAUGCGUAGAGAUGUGGAGGAACACCGAUGGCGAAGGCAGCCCCCUGGGCCAAUACUGACGCUCAUGCACGAAAGCGUGGGGAGCAAACAGGAUUAGAUACCCCCGUAGUCCCUGUCUCUUAUAC
rnacentral:rRNA from 1 species